rnacentral:rRNA from 1 species
GACGAACAGUGCGAACGUUAUUCGGAAUCACUGGGCUUAAAGCGCGUGUAGGCGGAUGAGCACGUCUGUCGCUGAAAUCCCCCGGCUCAACCGGGGAACGGGCGCGGAUACGGCUCGUCUCGAGGGGCGUAGGGGGACCUGGAACUUCCGGUGGAGCGGUGAAAUGCGUUGAGAUCGGAAGGAACGCCCGUGGCGAAAGCGAGGUCCUGGACGCCUACUGACGCUGAGACGCGAAAGCCAGGGGAGCGAACGGG